UGGGGAAUUUUGCGCAAUGGGGGAAAACCUGACGCAGCAACGCCGCGUGAGUGAUGAAGGCCUUUGGGUCGUAAAGCUCUGUCAGAGGGGAAGAAAACACGUCGGGUAAUCCCGCAAGGCCUGACGGACUCAAG
rnacentral:rRNA from 1 species